GCACUACUGAGGGGUCCUACAAUAGAACGAAACGGUCGUCUAGUGC
rfam:Schistosoma mansoni strain Puerto Rico chromosome 2, complete genome